rnacentral:lncRNA from 1 species
AAGGCCACUGCUGUUGGAGCAGGGAUGGAUUUGUCCCUGCAAGUUCGUGCUGCUGACGGAUUUGUUCCACCGACGUGUCGUGCAGAUGUCUCAUACAUGAUGCAGGACGUCAGGUAAGAUUUGAAGCAGUGAGCUGACAUAGGAAACACCACUUGUGAGGUUUAACUCUAGAUUACGUUAAACAGCCCAGCAGAACCUUUUGCUGCGCCAGUAGCUGUUCUUCUUGUCAAGAGAACAAAACCCUGCAAAAGAAUUCCAAUAAAAUAAUGUUUUUGUGUCUCGGUGAAGUGCCACCAUGCCACCAGAGGCUGCAAACUGUCUGUGACUUAGGAGGUAUCUCUCCUUCGGGCUCUGACUUCACCAAGGCAAAAAGGUGUCGCUGCAAGAGCCACGUCUAGGAAGGGUGUCACUCACGCUGUCCUGUUUUUGCUGCACUCUGUAAAUGCUGACCUUGCAGGAACCAGGGGCGUAAUGUGUUGUAGCCCUGCACAGAAAUGUGAACAAGUAUUUUGUCAAAUCCCUGGAUCUACUUCUGAGUUUUGAGCUGAAAUCCAAAGAUGUUGUGGCCAUCGAAAAACUCUCAGGCUGCCCUCACCCAGGGCUGAAUGCCGAGAUACGUCCCCUGCCCAUCCAUGUCCCCGUGUGAGUUUGUGUAAGACCACGAAGGCACCACGGUUUGGCAAAGGGGUGUCUCCAGGUGGGAAAAUGUGUCUCGUAUGUGCAGCCAUGUCACAUCGCUCACUGCUGCGAUGUAAAAGGGCUGCUGAUGUCUCCAGAAAGGGGGCCAGGACCUCCGAAAGCAGAGGAUGGUUUGAACGUUUGCUGUGUGCCACUGGUGGGAUCUCGUGGGCUGGCACGGUGGCGGAUGCACAGGAUAAAUGUGGCCAUUGUCAGAAUCCUGGUCAUCGCUUCGUGGGAAGACUUCAGGGAAUGUUAAAAAUAGAGGGUCAAGAAGCGUGGGGGAAGAGACGAGUGCUCUGCUGCCUGGCUGAGGUCGCCUUUGGAGCCAUUUCCAUGGGCUCCUACCAAUCCAUUGAAGGCAAAGCACUCCUUUACCCAGUCCUGAGCACAUGUUGGACCCUGGCCCUAUAA